GGGGGAGAUGAUAACAGCACUAAAGCACCGGAUCAUAGAACUCCGAAGUUAAGCGUGUUUGGCGAGAGGUAGUACUAGGAUGGGUGACCUACUGGGAAGUCCUAGUGUUGCAUCCC
rnacentral:rRNA from 1 species